GGACAGAUGGCCGAGUGGUCUAAGGCGCCGUCUUAAGGUUUAACUCCUAUUGAAAGGGGGUAAUCCGGCGGUCUUCGGGCGUGGGUUCGAAUCCCACUCUGUUCA